rnacentral:tRNA from 1 species
GGGAAUAGCUCAGCUGGUAGAGCGCAACCUUGCCAAGGUUGAGGUCGCGGGUUCGAACCCCGUUUCCC